rnacentral:siRNA from 1 species
AACCCGUGACCCGGUGAACCGGUU